UUUUGUCAGGGAGCGGAUUACUGCUAUACAUGUCCUUAUGUUGAGACAACAGUAUCGGGCUGUAUCGGGCUAUACGGGGUGAAGAGCCUCUAGACGCUAGACUCGUAGUCCUAAGAUUAGGACUAUUCACAAGGAGUAGAGGGGAAUGAAGGGUUAAAAUUUCUAAAAGUUAGUCAUGAACAAAGUCCAGACAUGCCUGAGAGAAUUUGAGAUAGGGCUCACUGGCCCGACUAUCAACUCCCAAGGACACUGGCCAUCUGGAGCCACCCCCUCCCCUUCCUUCACUCCCUGAGGAUGGGUCAUCCCCCUGCUGCAGUGAGAUGAGUUGCCCUGCCCACAUUGCUGAGAUGCUAGAUUACACGUAUGCUUUGUUGAUGUAACUCCGUGCCAAAAGUAACUGUGCACCCUUUGUAUUAGCCAAUUAUGUGUAUUCACACGAAACCCCUGGUUUUCCCUAUAUAAGCUCCUGCCUAGAGAGGCUCGGGGCUUGACUCAAUCUCCUGUGUGAGAUACGUGUCAGCCCGAGAUCUCGUAAAUAAAACUGCCUCUUGUUGAUUACAUCAA
rnacentral:lncRNA from 1 species